AAUAAGACCAUUUUUCAGUUUUUUGAUACAAUGUUUUGACUUUUCGUCUUAUUUGAAAUUUUUUUGCGAUUAAUAUUUUUGUUCUUACUAGAUGAUAAAGCAUGAAUAGUACUUUAUGCGUGACUAAUUUUUUUAUGUUUUUGUAAAAAGUUUUCAAAUAAGACGAAUGGGCAAACGUUGGAUACGAAAAAAC
rnacentral:pre_miRNA from 1 species